AGUGGGAUAGCUGGGACAAAUGGUGGUUCCAUUCCUAAGGAAUCUCCAUACUACUUUCCAUAUUGGCUGCACCAAUUUGCCGUUCCACCAGCAAU
rnacentral:pre_miRNA from 1 species